UACGGGGGGAGCAAGCGUUGUUCGGAUUUACUGGGCGUAAAGGGCGCGUAGGCGGCCACCGCAAGUCGGUUGUGAAAUCUCUGGGCUUAACCCAGAAAGGUCAACCGAUACUGCGGGGCUAGAGUGCAGAAGGGGCAACUGGAAUUCUCGGUGUAGCGGUGAAAUGCGUAGAUAUCGAGAGGAACACCUGCGGCGAAGGCGGGUUGCUGGGCUGACACUGACGCUGAGGCGCGAAAGCCAGGGGAGCAAACGGG
rnacentral:rRNA from 1 species